rnacentral:rRNA from 1 species
GACGUAGGGCGCGAGCGUUGUCCGGAUUUAUUGGGCGUAAAGAGCUCGUAGGCGGCUUGUCGCGUCGUCCGUGAAAACCCACAGCUCAACUGUGGGCUUGCGGUCGAUACGGGCAGGCUAGAGUUCGGUAGGGGAGACUGGAAUUCCUGGUGUAGCGGUGAAAUGCGCAGAUAUCAGGAGGAACACCGAUGGCGAAGGCAGGUCUCUGGGCCGAUACUGACGCUGAGGAGCGAAAGCGUGGGGAGCGAACAGG